GCGGGGGUGGCGGAAUUGGUAGACGCGCUGGAUUUAGGUUCCAGUAUCUUAGGGUGUGAGAGUUCAAGUCUCUCCCUCCGCACCA
rnacentral:tRNA from 7 species